AUCCUUCCCACAUCUCUCACUUCACUUUUCACUCCUUCUCGCUCUGUCCAGUCUCACUCCAGCUCUCACCCAAACCCAAAUCAGAGAAAUAACACCAUUGAACCCUAUUUCUCUGAAACCCUUCAUCAUCAAACACCAUUGAACCUUAUUUCUCUGAAACCCUUCAUCAUCAAAACUCGUUCAUUAAAGGGUUUACUUGAUUUCUGGAAGAGCUUGAGAUAUAUUCACUUUCUAAUUGUUUCGAUGACGAUGAUGAGACUUAGUGGAAGUAGCAGUCGAUCUCGGGCUACAAGUAGUAGGUCUACUGCAAGUCAUUGGCCAACUCCCCUGCUCAAUACUUCUGCAAGUCCAGACAGUUCUGCCAGUCCAGGUUCUAGGAGUCAACAUUUGUCAUCAGAUGGCGAGCAUUCUCCAAGGGAUGGUCACAGUGAACCAAUGGGAAGUGCACGCUCUGAGGAUCAGUGGCAUGCGGCUUUUCAGAAGUCUGUCAAUGAAACUCAAACUCCUCAAGCAAGCAGGAAUGUUGGUCACCUUCUUCCAGUUUCAUUCUACAUAUUCGGCACAAUGUGGAUGUCAUGCAUGUGGAAAAGAACUUUGCAGAGAAUUUGUUUGGAACUUUUAUGAACCAUAAGGAUAAGUCAAAGGAUGGGGUUCCAGCGCGCAAUGAUUUAAAACUUCUGAAGUUAAAGCCUAACUUAUGGUUGACGGAGAAUAAUGGAAAAUUAGUGGUCCCCCGUGCACCUUAUCGCUUGCCUGAUUCUGAAAGGGAAGUUAUAUGCAAAACUCUUAGCACACUGAAAGUACCAAUUGGUUACAGCGGGAACUGGAGAAAGAAAGUAUGUUUGAAAGAGUUUCAACUGAAGGGUCUCAAAUCCCAUGACUAUCAUAUGCUUAUGCAGGGUCUGAUGCCUAUUUUUAUAAUGCAUGGUUUCAAAAAACAUAAGCCUCUGCGUGAGGCAGUUCGACACUUAUAUUAUUUUUCAAAGUUCUUUGUUCUAAGGUUAUUGAUCGUGCUGAACUUCGUCUAAUGCAUGAAUGUGUAGUGGAGUCAUUAUGUGUGUUUGAAAUAUACUUCCCGCCUGCUUUUUUUGUUAGUAUGACUCAUGUUGUCGUGCACUUGGCAGAAGAGGCACAUUUAUUAGGGUCUGUUCAAUAUAGAUGGAUGUACCCUUUUGAGAGGAUGAUGAGAACCUACAACGUUUAUGGCCGCAACAAAAAUUAUGUAGAAGCGUCUAUUCAAAAAGAGUAUGAGGUCAUUGAAGGGGCGCGCCUGUGCAUGGAGUUCGUUCAUGAGGGGAAGCAAAGGUCUUAUAGAUGUCGUGGAAAGAUAUCAAUGCCCGGUGAAGUUUAUGAAGGUCCAUACCCACAUGAUUCAUACGGAAAAACAUAUAAGCUAACCACCUUAGAGUAUGAUCAAGUUCGUAUUUGGAUAUUGAGACACUCGGAUGAAAAUACUGAAUGGGAAGCGAAAUACAAUAUUUAUCUUUCCAAUCUUAACCGGACUCUUAGGGGAAGGAUAGAGACUAUGGACUACAUUGCAUGGUUAAGAGACCAACUUGAAGGCACUCCCAUGACAGAUUUUCAUAGGCUUGUCCUUGGGCCAACCUGCUAUACAGUUUCGUAUAAUUCGUAUUCUUUUAAUGGCUAUCUUUUCUACACAGCAGAUGCAGAAAAAAAUUUGACAACACAAAACAGUGGAGUUACCAUGAAUGCUUGCACCAGCUUUAGAGCAAGUUCGAGAGAUACUAACCUUGUUGAUGACGAUACUACGUACUAUGGAAUUCUGCAAAAGAUACUUGAACUAGACUAUGGGGUUUUCACAGAAGUUGUUUUUUUUUUGUGAUUGGGUGCGAGUCGAAGAUAAAGUACAUGGAUCAUAUGUGGAUCGAGAGACAAAGUUGAGGUUUGUCAAUUUUGAAUAUUUUAUGAGAAGCUCAAAGGAAGAAGACGAGCCAUUCAUCCAUGCUUCUCAAGCUAGCCAAGUUUUUUACUGCAGCAGAUUUGACAAGAAAGCAUUGGAAUCUGGUUUUGGAAUCUCCCAUGAGAUCAGACCCCCAUAUGAAUGCUUUUGAAGAUCCAUAUGUCUUCACUGCAACCUCUAGUGAUGCUCCAUUGAUUUCAGAAACCGUUGGACAUGAUGAAUUUUGGAAUGGAAUUGCUGAGGGAGAUGAUGAGUAUUCGGAUGUAGAUGCGCAGGAACUAGCUGAAUGUGGAGAUGAUGAAUAUUCAGAUUGAGAUGCUCAGGAACUAGAGGAAUGUGGAUUGUAGAUAUUCAAUCACAAUGUUCUGUAGAGGUGUGUGUCUUCGCAUACUCAUCAUGCUUAUGGUUUUUCACUGCCUAUGGUAUAUUUGUUCGUCUCCAUGUUGAUUUCGAUGCCUUAUGGAUGCCGUCUCUCUUCUAGAUGGUCUCAUGAGGGUCACUGAUGUCAUGGUUGAUGGUAAGAUCGAUGUUGUUGCUGGAUAAGUUAAUGUUGGAAAGGGUUGUGCCAAGGUCAUAAUGACUGAAAUUGUUGAAAUUUUUAGGACUUGUAUCACCUCUCUUUAAGAAACCUUCUUUAAGAAACCUUGAACUUGUUAAUUAGCAGCUGAAUCCUUUUCUCUUUUUGUUAGUUUGGACUAAAUUUAUGAAUAAUUAAAUGUAAUAGAGUUGUCAUUUUGUAUUAGAUGAACCUGGUUUUGUAUCGAAUUUGAAUUUGAAUUGUCAUUUGAAUUCUAGUAUUUGAAUUAAUUUGAAUUUGAAUUAUCAUUUGAA